AGUCGAGCGGAUGAGGAGAGCUUGCUCUUCGAUUCAGCGGCGGACGGGUGAGUAAUGCCUAGGAAUCUGCCUGGUAGUGGGGGACAACGUUUCGAAAGGAACGCUAAUACCGCAUACGUCCUACGGGAGAAAGCAGGGGACCUUCGGGCCUUGCGCUAUCAGAUGAGCCUAGGUCGGAUUAGCUAGUUGGUGAGGUAAUGGCUCACCAAGGCGACGAUCCGUAACUGGUCUGAGAGGAUGAUCAGUCACACUGGAACUGAGACACGGUCCAGACUCCUACGGGAGGCAGCAGUGGGGAAUAUUGGACAAUGGGCGAAAGCCUGAUCCAGCCAUGCCGCGUGUGUGAAGAAGGUCUUCGGAUUGUAAAGCACUUUAAGUUGGGAGGAAGGGCAUUAACCUAAUACGUUAGUGUUUUGACGUUACCGACAGAAUAAGCACCGGCUAACUCUGUGCCAGCAGCCGCGGUAAUACAGAGGGUGCAAGCGUUAAUCGGAAUUACUGGGCGUAAAGCGCGCGUAGGUGGUUUGUUAAGUUGGAUGUGCAAGCGCCCGGCUCAAUCUGGGAACUGCAUCCAAAACUGGCAAGCUAGAGUUCGGUAGAGGGUGGUCGAAUUUCCUGUGUAGCGCUGAAAUGUGUAUAUAUAGGAAGG
rnacentral:rRNA from 1 species